rnacentral:rRNA from 1 species
CCUANGGGGGGCAGCAGUGGGGAAUUUUGCGCAAUGGGCGAAAGCCUGACGCAGCGACGCCGCGUGAGUGAUGAAGGCCUUCGGGUCGUAAAGCUCUGUCGGAUGGGAACGAAAAGGUCAGGGGAACAAUACCUCCUGGCCGUGACGGUACCUGUCCAGAAAGCACCGGCUAACUCUGUGCCAGCAGCCGCGGUAAUACAGAGGGUGCAAGCGUUGUUCGGAAUCAUUGGUCGUAAAGGGCGUGUAGGCGGGACUGCAUGUCGGAUGUGAAAUACCUGGGCUCAACCCAGGAAUUGCGUCCGAAACUGCAGUUCUUGAGUACGGGAGAGGGAAGCGGAAUUCCCAGUGUAGAGGUGAAAUUCGUAGAUAUUGGGAGGAACACCGGUGGCGAAGGCGGCUUCCUGGACCGAUACUGACGCUGAGACGCGAAAGCGUGGGGAGCAAACAGGAUUAGAUACCCGUNUANUC